rnacentral:RNase_MRP_RNA from 1 species
AAAGAAGAAGCGAACUUUUAUGGUGUGAAGAAGCUUCAGGUUGUGGGUGAUAGUUAUGCAGUUGGAGUGUGUUCGUUGGGGUUACCACAAUGG